CCCAGCAAGAUAAAGGAAUCACCAGCUGGCUGUUGGUGUUCCUGCUUCAGCCUGGGGAAACCAUCGUCUGGGGCCAAACGCCAGCCACAGCACCAUCCCAGGGAGCCCUCAGAAAUAGAAAUCGUAGUGCUGGCAGAUGAACUGAGCCCUUGUCCACCCAGAAGAGCUGGAGCAAGUAGCGAAGCUGGGCUGUGUGCUUCCACCAAUGGAGAGCUCUUGGGAAGCACAAAUGGCUGCGGAUCACGUGACAGCCUUGCACGUAACAACAGUGAUGGAGAGAGGGAGCUCAUCCAAGUUGAAGCCCUCAUUUCUCCUGGCUGUGCUGAAGAUGCUGACCUGUGCCCACCAGGCACCGCAGUCACCAGCCUGGACUGUGACCCGGCACCUUUGCAGUGCAGCCCAGCCCAAGUACAGUCCGAGUGCCCGGACAGCAACACCUCUGUGCAGGAGCAGGUCAGCAUCAGCGAGGAGCAGCAGAGCCUCUUGGAGGGGGGCGUACAAUCAGGCCUCCAGUCCCAGGCACCGUGCAGCAUCUCUGAGAGCUCUGAGCCACUCUCUACGUGAUCUUUCCAUCCAAGAGAGGACGAUUUCCAUCUUUACCUGGACCUCUCACGCCCUCCUGUGUUUUCCUUUAAUAAUAAAAGCGCACUUAUACUCACUCAACGCCUUGACUGCCUGUGGAGUCUUCAUUCACGAGGACUGGGAUGAAUGCGGCACACAGCAAGGCACCUCAGCUGGCAACGCUGAGGCUGCAGGGUGCACGAAGCAGAGCUCUGGGUUAUUUCCCAUUCUGUCUGGCUUUGGGAUGUCUGCAGGUCCCAGUUGGUACGGUAGCAAAUAAUCUCUAGCAUCCUGGAUUCUGCUCGUGGUGACCCCAAGCUUCCUGGCGGUGGCUUUGUGAUGCCUUUCAGGGCUUUUGGAUGCACUGUGAUGCCUUGGCUGCUCCCUAGCACCUCUCUCCUCCGGCCGCGUCCAUUCCUUGAAGGAAUCAGCAGCUGGCUGUUGGUGUUCCUGUUUCAGCCUGGGAAAACCAUCUUCUGUGGGCAAACGCCAACUGCAGUGCAAUGCCAGGGAGCCUGCAGAAAUGCAAGUCGUAGUGCUGGCAGGUGAUUCGUGCUCUUGUCAACCGAGCAGAGCCAGAGCAUGUAGUGAUGCUGGGCUGUGUGCUUCCACCAACGGAGAGCUGUUAGGAAGCACAAAUGGCUGUGGUUCAGCUGACAGCCUGCCGCAUAACAACAGUGAUGGAAA